AUUGAACGCUGGCGGCAGGCCUAACACAUGCAAGUCGAACGAGUGGCGGACGGGUGAGUAAUGUCUGGGAAACUGCCUGAUGGAGGGGGAUAACUACUGUAAACGGUAGCUAAUACCGCAUACCAUCGGAUGUGCCCAGAUGGGAUUAGCUAGUAGGUGGGGUAAAGGCUCACCUAGGCGACGAUCCCUAGCUGGUCUGCGAGGAUGACCAGACACACUGGGAAUGAGAGACGGUCCAGACUCCGACGUGAGGCAGCAGUGGGGAAUAUUGGACAAUGGGCGCAAGCCUGAUGCAGCCAUGCCGCGUGGAUGAAGAAGGCCUUCGGGUUGUAAAGUACUUUCAGCGGGGAGGCGUUACCCGCAGAAGAAGCACCGGCUAACUCCGUGCCAGCCGCCGCGGUAAUAC
rnacentral:rRNA from 1 species